rnacentral:lncRNA from 1 species
UGGGAUUCUUUCAGUUCUUUCAACAUAUUUGCAAUAACUGAUUUAAAGUUGUUUGUUUAGUAAGUACGGUAUCUAGGCUUCCAUAGGGACAGUUUUUAUUGACUACAUUUUUUCCCUUCGUGUCUUAUAACCUUGUUGAAUAUUGCACAUUCCAUAAUGUGAUAAUUGUGGAAAUCAGGUUUUCUGCUUCCCUAGGGAUGUUGUUGUCAUUUAAUGUUUUUCUUUCUGUUUGUGUAGCAGCUUUGCUGUAUGAAUUCUACAAAGUCUCUAUUUCCUGUCCUGAAGAGCACUGAAGUCAUGGCUUGCUUAGUUUACUGGUCAGCUAAAGAACAUACUGAUGCUCUGAAAGAUGACUCCAGGAGAGUUUGAGGAGGCAAACACCGUCUACACAGUACUACAAGGCUUUGUCCCAAGAACCUACAUAGCUAUGAUGGACAAGGUUAAGUAAUAAACCACACAGAGGCUGAAAGCUGCUGGACAAGUGCUCUGGUCACCUGUCCUUAGGCAAGAAUUCUGGAAGGUAUUUUGUGUAUAUUCAUUAGUUCUAGCUAAUCUAGAACCUCAUACAUGUUCAUUAUAACAACCUUGAUAAUGUUUUGUUUUAAAUCACCAUUCAUGUGGUUUGACAUACAUAGAAAUAUUCACUGAUUUUAUGUAUAUGUUUAGAUGAUUUGUGACAUAUAUGUCAUCAGAUAAAUAUUAUCAGAAUCAAAGAUGUUGGAAAUUACCAUUGCCCCUCAAUCUCUCCAUGCCCUUUUAGUCAAUCUCCUACUCCCAUAUAUUGCAAUAAUUGAUGACCUGUCUUCACUAUAGUUUUACUUUUUCUAGAAUUUUGUAUUAGUGGAAUUAUACAAUGCAGUGUCUCUUGUGUCAAGCUUCUUUCACAAAAAGACAUUGAUAUUGUACAUAUCAAUGUUUCCUUCCUUUUCAUUGCUAAGCAGUGUUACAUUGUAUGGAUGCGUCAUUCUUUGCUUAUUCAUAUGUGAAUGCAUAAACUAGUUGUGGUAUGCCCAU